UUGUUCUCAACGGGGAGCUAAUAACGAAAGUCAGCUGAGAGUUGUAAUUCAUUAGAAAUGGAAAACAUGACCCGUCGAACCUGAACCGGCUAAUACCGGCGGAGGGAUUGAGCUUAUCAAAGAU
rnacentral:ncRNA from 1 species